AGACACGCAGAACCCUCCCUCCUCCUCCCAGAGGUUUCUGCAGCAGAGCACCGGCACUCCUCCUCCCAGCCGUUGCUCUCGUCUUUUGAAGAGCCUGCCGCACCUCCUCCCGCGGCGGGCUCUUUUC
rfam:Rhizobium sp. Leaf306 contig_3, whole genome shotgun sequence.